CAAUAGCGUAUAUUAAAGUUGUUGCAGUUAAAAAGCUCGUAGUUGGAUUUCUGGUUGAAGCGACCGGUCGGGCGUUGAUUCGUCUGCACUGGAGUCGGGUUUGGCCAUCCUCUAGGAAAGUGCGUCUGGUAUUAAGUUAUCGGGCGUAUGAUCCUGGUCUUUUACUGUGAAAAAAUUAGAGUGUUUAAAGCAGGCCUUCGCCUUGAAUACAUUAGCAUGGAAUAAUAAGAUAGGACUUUGGUCUAUUUUGUUGGUUUGCAGACCGAAGUAAUGAUUAAUAGGGAUAGUUGGGGGUAUUUAUAUUCCGAUGUCAGAGGUGAAAUUCUUAGAUUUUCGGAAGAUAAACUUAUGCGAAAGCAUUUACCAAGGAUGUUUNCAUUAA
rnacentral:rRNA from 1 species